ACUGUUUUAAUUUAAAUAAAAUACUGAUUUUGUAAUUCAGAAAUAGAACACUCUAAACAGUU
rnacentral:tRNA from 1 species